UUGAAAUAGUUCUGGCUGGUCCAUCAUAGAAAGAGCGAUCCUGAGAGCUGCCCAGAUAUUACCUGAUAUUGCAGGAUGGGGAACCUGCUGUUGAUUCCUGCUCUUUCUCUGCAGGCUGAGAGCAGUGAGAAAAUUGCUGACAGCCUCCCUGUAGGGGAAGAAAGAAAGGCAACAUACAAACAUCACAACGUUAUCGUGUUUAAAAAUGAGUCUGCUACAUCUGGAGCAGCCCUGCCCUUUGCAUCGCAGGAGCUCAACUGAAGAAGCUCUGCACCAUCCGGCCAUAGGAGCUGUGUGCCGGCACAUGGCAGGAGCAGCCGCAUGCUGCCCAACCACAGGAGCUGGGUGCAGGGACAAGGCAGGAACAGUGGGGGUGGUCUUUAAAUCCCCCGCACAGACCAAUCCGGCUACAACCUGGAUACCUGACACAUGGAAGAUAUCGAAUUUUAG